rnacentral:tRNA from 1 species
UGGCUCAGAGGUUAAAGCAUCUGCCUGCAACGUGGGAGACCCAGGUUCAAUCCCUGG